AAGUCGAGCGGACAGAUGGGAGCUUGCUCCCUGAUGUUAGCGGCGGACGGGUGAGUAACACGUGGGUAACCUGCCUGUAAGACUGGGAUAACUCCGGGAAACCGGGGCUAAUACCGGAUGGUUGUUUGAACCGCAUGGUUCAAACAUAAAAGGUGGCUUCGGCUACCACUUACAGAUGGACCCGCGGCGCAUUAGCUAGUUGGUGAGGUAACGGCUCACCAAGGCAACGAUGCGUAGCCGACCUGAGAGGGUGAUCGGCCACACUGGGACUGAGACACGGCCCAGACUCCUACGGGAGGCAGCAGUAGGGAAUCUUCCGCAAUGGACGAAAGUCUGACGGAGCAACGCCGCGUGAGUGAUGAAGGUUUUCGGAUCGUAAAGCUCUGUUGUUAGGGAAGAACAAGUACCGUUCGAAUAGGGCGGUACCUUGACGGUACCUAACCAGAAAGCCACGGCUAACUACGUGCCAGCAGCCGCGGUAAUACGUAGGUGGCAAGCGUUGUCCGGAAUUAUUGGGCGUAAAGGGCUCGCAGGCGGUUUCUUAAGUCUGAUGUGAAAGCCCCCGGCUCAACCGGGGAGGGUCAUUGGAAACUGGGGAACUUGAGUGCAGAAGAGGAGAGUGGAAUUCCACGUGUAGCGGUGAAAUGCGUAGAGAUGUGGAGGAACACCAGUGGCGAAGGCGACUCUCUGGUCUGUAACUGACGCUGAGGAGCGAAAGCGUGGGGAGCGAACAGGAUUAGAUACCCUGGUAGUCCACGCCGUAAACGAUGAGUGCUAAGUGUUAGGGGUUUCCGCCCCUUAGUGCUGCAGCUAACGCAUUAAGCACUCCGCCUGGGGAGUACGGUCGCAAGACUGAAACUCAAGGAAUUGACGGGGGCC
rnacentral:rRNA from 1 species